UCCCCUCCUCUUUCGGCCUCUCCCCGCCGCGCUCCGCCCCCAUCCUAUCCCCUCCUCGUCCUCUUCCACUCCUCCACUCCUCCCCGCCCUACUUUACCCGGGCCCCUACCUCCCCUCCCCUCCUAUUCCCGCUCCGCCCCGCCCCGGCCCCCGCAUGGUCCCCACUGCAAACUAGAGGGGAGGGCGCGGCUCUCGGCUUCUGGAGUUGUGCGCCCCAGGGUUGUACGCCCGGGGGUCGCAGCAGACCGAAGUGGUACCGACCCAGGGUCGCAUUGUUCAGUGAGCGCUCCAUCCCGGGUUGCAGUCGCGGAUUGCCCCUUCCCAGGGCUGCAGUUUCGGGGGCUUGCAGCCCCACCGGGGGUCGUCCCGGGCGCGGAGGGUGAGAGCGCGGCCUCGGAGAAGCCCCUAGAGCCGGCGCACUCCCGCCGCUGGGCGCGAGCCGAACCCCACUUGCCAGGGCUCCGAGCCCCCCACUCCCGGGACUCACGGCCUGGACAGCAGGCGCUGCGCAGACAGCGGGGACCCCCAGAGGGACAGUCUGCGCGGGAGGGGCGGGCCAAGCCCGGUGAGUUAUGCGGGGUGCUGGGCACAGGCCCCACUGCCGUGGGCACGAAAAUUGCAGUCGUGGGGCCCCGAGGACGGCUGGCCCCGAGGAAGCGCUGAGAUUGUUCUCGGAGACAAAGGCAGACCCGGGCCGUGGGAGGGGCUGGAGUGAGGUCGGGAAGGUUGAAGGUCACCAUCAAUCAACACCUGGGGCUGACCUGGGGCCUCUCUGGCCUGGUGACUUUCCCGCAGAAACCUUUAGGAGUCGGGGCUGAUGGGCCCAAACCUUGGAACAGCAAGAACACACACACACACACACACACACACACACACACACACGCACACACACACCCAGGCCUGCAGUGGGGAGGAGCUCGGGUGCAGCUCGCUCUAGCCACAGCUGGGCUGCCCUGUGCAUCCCUGCAAGGGCACUGGCAAGGUCACCGGAGGCAGUGGCUCCAGGCUCCAGCCUCCCCUCUUUCUCCUUAUUCCCACCUGCCCCCACACCUGUCCCUUCCCAACUUGUUUUUCUCCAGACGGGCGUCAUCCUCUAGUACUCCGGGGGGGGUUGUUCUGUGUGCUAUGACCCCCCUAUCCACCCCGCCCCGUUAGAGUGUAAGCCCCUCCACGGCUAGGAUUCUUGUCUUUUGUUUACUGCUGGAAUCCAACCACCCAGAAUAGUGUUCAUGAGUAAGUUCACAUGUCAGAGCCACACUCAAAAGUAGCAACUCAGGCAAAGCCUUUUCCAACUCCAGUGAGUCACCCUCCUCUGGACACUGAACAUCGGCUCAAACCUCCAUUAUUCGUUUGCAGCGUGAAUUCUGUGUCUCCCCCCAUUCAACCACGAGAGCCUAACAGUUGCACACCAGCUGUCUUUAACGAUGCCCGCCAUCCAGAAUGUUCGCCGUUACAUAGCAUUCUGCAGUGCAGAAACCAGCCCUCCCAUCUCACAGAGGAGGACACUGAGGCAGAGAGAAUCCAAUCGCCCGGGGAAGGUGGCAUGGUUAAACAAGCAGAGGACAGUCCUCCCUGUUCCGUCGUGUCCUGCGGCCUGCGUUUGCUGUUUGCUGUUGACUCCACACCUAGUGAGCAAGUCUCACUAGUCAGCAGGCAGAAACUUGUUGAAUAAGUGAAUAUAUUAGCAAGCCACUUUGAAUUGUACCAUAGAACCGUUAUACCUCUCAAAACCACCCAUCAAGUCACGUGAUCAGCCCGGAGUGAAAAUUGGCAGAGGAGGUAUCCAGUCUCUGGUGACUCAGCAGAUGGAUUCUGGAGCCUGACUUUUGAGGCUUUGUCACCUUCUUGCUGUGUGACCGUCGGUGUCCUGACCACUCACUGCCUUUGUUUCUGUAUCUGUAAAAUGGGGUUAAUAAUAGUAUUUCCUUAUAGGGGUGUCUGAGGACUCGUUGAGCAAAUAUUUAUAAGACAUUCAUUCAGAAAGUGCUUGACACAGUAAGGGCUAUGCCAGCUUUAGCCUUUCGACUUUUUUCUACACGGCAAGACAGUAUGUAGGUACAAUUGAACAAUGUCAGACAGGUGCAAAUCACCAGGCACCUCAGUCUACAGAAAGGAGCUCCUGUCGGUCUUAAUUUACCUCCCCUUUCGAUUCCCUUUUAGCUACAAGGGUGACCAAGCAAGGAUCCAUUUAAAUGAAGAUGGCCCGUGCCGCCCAUGAGCUCCCUCGAGAAGCACAAAUGGCUUGCAAAGGCCUUGGUGCUGGGGAGGUUAUCACAGACCAGCGCGUUCCAGAAACUUCAAGAAAGGCUGUGGUCCAGGUGUCAUGAUGCCUGGAGGGGCCGUGUUCUCUGUGCGUCCCUCUUUUCCCCCUCUUACAAGGACACCAGUCGGAUUGGGCCAGGGCCCGCCUGCUGGGGCGCGACCUCAUUGUCACUAAUUAUAUCUGCAACCACCCUCUUUCCAACCAACGGCACAUGCGGAGGUCCUGGGGUUCGGACGUGAACAAGGCUCUAUUCGGAGAAGGGACACUAUUGGACCCCUAACCUACGCCCGAAGCAACCGCCAUCCCUCCUCUAUUUCUGCUUCUCGUGACCGCGGACUGUCCUCGCCAGGACAAGAGCACCGGGGAACGCAAGAAGAGCCGCUUCCCCAGGGUUUUGGCUUCGUCUCUCUUUUCAGGCCCAAAGUGGGAGUUGGCAACCGUAGGACCAGGAACUGGGUGCGGUGGUUUCUUCUAGAAGAAUUGGCGGUAUUUUCUAGGAACAGAUCUAGCCUCUGGCCCCGCUGAGCUGGGAGAUGAUCUGGGAGAGCUCCUUCCCGCCCGGGGGGCGCCUCCAGGCCGCCCGCUGCGCUAGUGAUGGGGGAUCUCGCUCGGCCGGCCGCUCGGAAAGGUAGUGACAGUAUGGGUGCCAUCAGAUGGCAGCACGGGCUGCCACGUCACCUUGAGUAGGGUUCCGUUCUCUUUUACCUUUUCCUUGUCUCCACUGCUGGUCUGGCGGUUAUCACUGCUUGUGAAGCAGCCUCUCUCCUGUCGCCCCUUCGUUUCCGUUCUCCUGUCUCCCUCGGCACGGACAGGGCCCGGGGGGGGGGGGGGUGUGUGCGAAUCAGUGAGCUCACUGUGUGCAAACGGCCCAGAUGUCCUCAGGUAAGUACAAUGAAUCACCGAGAUCGUCUUGGUGCAUCUCUUAAUUCUUGGCCGUGAUUGGACGGCUGAGUUUAUCGGUGACUUUGCGGCAGAACAGAAAUCGUGAUACUUCGCAGAACAGGAGGCGCCAGCGGAAGAGAGGACAGAAUGAUCUGUAGGAGGACUUCGAGCACCUCCCACUCACAUCCCACGUCAGACUGGGAUUCGUGACCCCAAUCACAUUAGCUCCCGAGCGCCCACUGUUUGCUCCCUGUGGCCCAGCAAAAGGGGCACACGCGCCCCGAGCCCAGAGCGCACACCCUCACGGGGACAGUCGGCAGGAAAUAAACUGCCACGUGCACUUUGGGUUAUGCUGGUGCGAGACAAACUGCAGACUCCCAGACGGAAGGGAACUGGGGGAACAUACUUGGGUUUGCUGUGGAAAGUGGAAUUUUCCCUCGGACUGUACAGAAUUCACCGCCUUCGUUAAUGCACGUGAAUCCCGCAGGCUGUUCUGUUAGAGGACCUGGAACCCCGCCGGCCCUGACCCGCCCGCAUCCGCCCCAGGAAAGGCCGGGCUCACUGCCCCUGGUGCCGCAGUGCCAGGGCAAAAGGGAGGAACGGAGGCCACCGGGGCCGCGGGGACAGCUGGGGGCAGACGGGUGCGGGCGGAGCUCAGGGCCAACUUCAGGAUGCAUUAUUGUGACGCACCCCAGAACUCAGAGGCAGCUCACGAGGCUGGAGAUCCCGGACCUCACUGAGGACACCGAUCGCACGACCUGUGCAAAGCUGCACUGUCUCACUCACUGUUACGUGUGUGUGCUCAGUACUGAACUAGCACAGUGUUCCCAAUCAAAUUAGUGCCACGGCAAACGGAAACACGAACUCAAAAUCGUAUCCGCACCCCCACGUUCACUGCAGCAUCAUUUACGAUAACCGAGGUGUGGGAACAGCCUCGGUGUCCACUGAUGGGUGAGUGGCUAAAGAAGUGGGGUGGGUGUGCGUGUGCGCAUGUGCGUACAAUGGGAUGUCACUCAGCCAUAAAAAAGAAAAAAAUCUUGCCAUCUGCAACAACAUGGACGGACCCCCAGGGUGUUACGCUAAGGGAAGGAAGUCAGGCAGAAGAGACCACGUGAUCUCACUUCCAUGUGGAGUCUGAAAGAGACAAAGCAAGACAAAACCAAGAGACACAGACACGGGGCGCAGGUCGGUGAUUGCCAGGUGGGGGUGAGGGGUGGGACAGACGGGGACGGGGCGAAGGAGGGCGAGAGGUGCAGACUUCCAGCUAUAGAAUAAAUAGGUCAGGAGGAUAGGAUAUACAGUCGUGACGACUCCAGUUAGGAACGCCGGGCUGACAGAAGUUGCUAGGGGCCGAAGUCUUGAAAGUCCUCCUCAGGAGACAAAAACGAACAGUGUGGAGACGGACGGUGACUAGCCUUUGUGGUCCUCAGGGCACAGAUAUCGAUUCCUUACAUUAUACAUCAAUUCUACCGCGAUAACAGCAAUAAAAUUAAUGUCAUCGAGAAAUUAUGCAGAAACCAGAUUUUGCUGCACACGGUGCCCUGAAAAGUCACCGAGGGAGUAGGAAAUGAUUUUAC